AGGCACUGCCCACUCAUUCAGGUGUUUUAUCCACACUAGAAAUCAGACGUUUGUGUAUUUAUUCUGGGUUGUGGAGUUAUUUUCACAACAGCGUGUGUAUGCAGGCUUUUUAGUUGUUGUCAGAUAAUACCCAUGUGCACUUUAGGGGAAAUCCUCCUAAUUUCUCCUCGAUGAUAAAGGUUUCUGUCAGAUUUAGGUUCCUGGGUAUCGGGAAGUUGGGAAACUGGUUGCUCUGAAAGCAUGAAAACCAACAACUUUUGCUUGAAAACAGGCAAACUUUCUAAUUUUCUGAAAAGUGCAUCAUCAGAUUUUGCCCAAACCUGUUUAGAAAAUUUGUAUUUUCCCAAAACGUAUUCAUCAGCAGGAGCAUGUAAUUUAAGAUAUGCUUAUUUUACACUGAGAAAGUUGUGUCCUGAAAUUACAGUACAUCAGUGUUCUUUGUCUAAAAUAAACCUCAAGCUGGCAAGAAUCCCAAAGCUUAUAAAGAUCCCUGAUCCUGUAAUUUGCAGUUAGAAUUUUACGAAAGCCUGCAAAAGCAAAGCAAAUGCAGCCUUAAAACUUAAUAUUAUACUGUUUUCAACAGAGCCUCUGAGGGGAAGGGUAGAGACGAGCAGUCUUUCAGAGGUGAAAAGAAGAAGUCUUGUAAUCUUUAGUGUGACUAUAAAUGAUCACAGAGGAGGUGAGGUCCCGGUGUACUGAGCCCUCUUUAAAAACCAAUCAUAUCACUGCUCGGAUCAAGGGGGCGAUCUGAUCCCAAAGGAAAACAGUGUGUGUUGGCUCUCUGUUUGUGUGUGUUACAGGGAAUAAACUUUACGCACAAUGGGCGCCUGCAGGGAGGGGGUGGGGGAGCGUGGUGGUCAAAUGGGAUUUCCCUUCACAAUAAAAGUCAGCGUAUGAGGGAAACGUCACCGGUGUGUUUGCUGAUUACUGAUGACUGUUUUUGCUGCGCUCUGUGUUAUCUGAGCACUGUGGAGUGAGCCUGAUAGAAGACUUAUAUUCAUGGAUUUGUGUGUGUGUGUGUGUGUGUGUGUGUGUGUGUGUGUGUGUGUGUGUGUGUGUGGGCUGACCUCCGUCUCCAUGCAGCCUUAAUCACAUUUUUGUUGCCUGACAGCCAGCUGGCCCAGGCCUCUUUGUGUCGUAGUUAACGAGAUAAUCAGAUCUGCAGAUUAAUGCGUCGCUUUAAUAACACCACGCUUUGCUUUUGUGUAACUGUACUCUGCUGUAAUCUCCGCAGAAGCACACAUAUAGUGGAAACUUUCCCAAACUGCUUCUCAGGUAACCCUGAAAGGUAGGAAACAGCCAUUACUGUGGAGACAGAAAGACGCUCAGCCGUUGUGUUAAAUUACCUGUCGCUUCCCUGUAAAUGUCAAACACAGAUCGCAUUAAAAAUUAUAAUAAAAUCUGCCUUGAUCUGCUGAGAGAAUGUUCAAAUGAGGACUGGUUCAUUGUUAUUCAUUAGUCACUACCUGUUGUUUUCUUAAUUUAUUACUUGUUUGGUUCUCCUAGCUUCACAUUUGGAGAAGUUAAGCUCAGAAAUUAUGUGUCAGGCGUGAAAUUUCUGAUGCCAAAGCUUUCCGGUGUUAAUUUGGAGCCCAAGUUCUAUCGACCAAUCACAUCCAAACAACAAUCAAAAAAGUGCAUGUGGAGGAAAAACAAGAGGUCACAUUUGCAAUUUCAUAACAGUGACAAUGGUCUCGACAGCAGUCAGUGACAUUCACUGCCAUCCAUCUGAUUUCUUUCUAAAUAAUUAAAGGGUGUGUUUAUUUUUUAUAUCUCACUUGAUUAGAUUCUUUCAAGGCAUAAAGUUAAAGGUGUGGUUCUGCUGAUUGAUAUAUGCGUGCCAACACGGCGAUGUCUCUGCUAAGUGCCUGCUGAGCUUUCUUAAUAUUUGACUGACUGUGUUGGAGCCUAUGAAGAAUUUUAAUGCAGUGAUCCACUGGCUUAUAUAAUAACUUGACACUCCAGCCUCUGGCAGUCCCUUUUGGCUGCAAACAUUUAAGCUUCAAAACCAGACUUCACAGUGGCUACGGUCACUUUUUACAAACGGCCACUGUGAUGAUAAUUCCCCAUGACACACACAAUUACUGAGAUUUUUUUACAUAUAAAAAACGGAAUACUAUUACCAACGCACAUAUUUCCUGAAAGCUGCGCACGAUCCAAAACCCGAAUACUGGAGCAAUUACAUAAAUACACACAGGUAAAAUGCAUCUUAGAAGGUUUUCUGUGUAUUUUCCAAACAAAUAAAAGACACGAUGUUAAUUAUCAUCAUCCCAAACAAAGUGAAAUGUCAUUCAGCUGCAGAGGAUUGGCCCACAUUUCCUGUUAUAUUUUCUUGCUUUGUGGGGAUGUCAGUUUGUGUGCAAACACCUUUACACUUUGAACAGAGGUGUGGUCCAAAUCUCCGCCACUCACCUCCCACACAGGAAGGAGUGCUCGUUUGAACGGGAGGAAAGAAAUCUAGGUUAAACAAAUAUAGCCGUUCAAGUUCACACAUUAAACUGCACCGGCACCAGUGAGUAUAACACAUCAUACAUCAUCCAUCAAGCAGCAGACCUUUAGAAAAACAGAUGUUAGCCAUAAACUGGCCUCAGUGUCAGUCAGUCCACUUCUCUCGUUAAGAGUGAAAUGUCUGGAAUUGGCACAACGUUUGUCUCCAGUAUUACUUACCCUACAGGCACAAAUGAUUGUAGGAUACUGGAGGAGCAAAAGUCUGCAUGAACAAACUCAAAUAAGACGACACCUUUAGGGUGAAAGGAUGAUGGGGUGUUAAACAGCAAUGGGCAAUGAGAUGAACUAAAACAAUAGCAUCUUACUCUGACUACUCACCAAAAGACUACCUUUAAUAGCAGCUAAAAAAUCUAAACUUGACUGAUUGAAAUCAUAUCAACUCUUAAACCAAUUAGUUGGUCUGUGGAUUUAAUAGGUCAGUUGAUUGUAUAAAAUAUUACAUGUGCAGCCGAGUGGUAAAUUAAUAAUAAUAUUUUCCAUUUAAGGUUCAAAAAGGGGUCUUAAAAUGUUGUUUCUUUGUUUCCAUGUAUGGUAAGACAAGAAUGUUAUUGGGUAAUAUAAUGUUAUUGCUUGUGCUAUUUCUUUUGUUAUCUGCAUGUUGUGUGCACUUGAAGCUGUUAAUUUUAUAGGUUGGUGUAGUUGCAUAUUGUGGUCACUGGGGGGUGGCAGUGCUUAAGGGUUAACUGCAGUUUUCCAAAAAAAACUUAACAAGAAAUGCAUCUUGGGACUUCCUGUUUACUUUUUUGUUGUGGAUGUGGAAUGGGAAUCUUGUGAAGGAGUUAAAUUGUUGGACCUGAAUGUGCAACGUGGAGCAGCCAUUUUCUCCAUGCAAGGGAUAAGUUGCGAGAUCGUCUGUGUGCUCCAGUAUUCCAAGUGAGCUGAGAUUUCUGUGGAAUGUAAGUGUUUAUAAAAAUGUAUGUAACACUUCCACAUUUUUUUUAAGGAGCCUUGUGUGAUUUAGCUCUUUGUAUUUUGUUCUGCACAGACAGAGGCCACUGCCGUAUUUUUGUGUUUUGUAUUUCAUUUCAUUUCCUUUAUUCCUCGUAUUGUAUUGGCGCAUCUUUGUUUAAUCGGUUAUUCUGUUACUUCGCCACGUUACCUCUCGUGCUGUCGAUGUUCAGUACAAGUCCAUAUGGCCGCUGUUUGACAAAAGUAAAGGUCAAAGGACAUUUUUUUGUUUAUUCAGUUGUCAUUGACAUUAAAACUGCACAUUAAGAACCCCAGUAAUUGUGUCCUGUGUGGCUAACCAUUUCCCAGGCUACACAUGCGUUCCUCUAACAGCUAAAAAGUCAGAUUGUCACGUCUGUACUCGUCUGACUGUACACAUCCGCCAUGGCACAGAUUCAAAGUAAUCCCAAACCAGGACAAACAUAUCCUGCAGACUAAGCGGUCUGACGCCUGAGCUGUAGGGCUUCAGAAGAUGGUGUGUUGACAUGGCAAGACAUAAAUCCCUAAGACACACACAUGCAUAAAGAUCACCACAGCACACAUGGCCUUUACAAGAUACAGCCUCACAUCUUUGCACACCAACCACGUUAUCCUACCAUCCAGUGCUUCACGUAGGUACGGUGCGGAGCUAUAUUUGAGAUCUGAUUACAGCCGUAAAGCUCUCGCACUCUCGUGGCCCUUUGAACAUUGGCUUCAACUCAGUAGAAGGGGAAAUAUCUAAGAGGAGAUUUAAAGCUGGUCCAGAUCCCAGAUCUCAACCAACAGAUCGUUCUUAAUUGGUUCUGCUGAAAGCUGUUAAGGUCAACGUUUGGUCAAUCUGGAAAUAAGAGCAGAGGGUGGAACAAAAGGCCGCAGUAAACCUCUUAGAAAGCAAGUUGAUUUGUUCUAAACAGAGCCACAUUCUUCAAAGGAUGAGGGCCGAAGUCACAGGGCUCGGUGACUGGGCAGCGCUGCAGGUUGAUGUCCUGCCAACGUGUUAAGAAAACCUCUCAGAGCCUUUAGACUCUUUCUGAGGGAGGGAAGGGAGACAUGGUCAGAACUGCUGAUGACAGACACCUUAAGAUGAUAAGUUGAUGCGAAUCUAUCAGACACAGCAAUAUGCACAGGCUUUCUACAUCACCAUCAGAAGGUAGGCGAUUCAUCCUGCAGGAGAACACAGGUCCAAAUUUUCAAGUCCUUAAACUCUUGCAGCAGACUCCUGCAGAAGAUGGCCUAGACAAAUCCCAGUCCUCUACCAAAUCCAAAGCACCAUCUUGCCAGAUGCCCACCAAAAUGUAAUGGUUUCUUUCAUUGCUCGGGUUUCAUCUCUCCAAGUCUGAUGAAAUUUGAUCCUGUUGACCAGACAGACGCAGCUAAAAACAACCUUGGCUCUGUUAGACACAUUCGUAUUAGAAGCAUGAAUGUCUAAACUACACAUGUCAUCCAACCACUUUCUCCACGUUGAAACAGCUGCAUCCAGUAACUAGCAAUCAAAAUAUUUCUGUAGCAAAACCUACAUUACAUCUGUAAUCCCUUAACUGUGAGUAAUCAUAUUUUCUUUCUUCUACGCUUUCGAUCUUUGCUCUUUUGUAUGCCCAUCUUCUUUCAUCAUUUUAUUCAUGUUUUUCUCUCUCAUUCUCUUCAUUUACUCAAUUCUGUUCCAUUUUCCUUCAUUCUUUUCCAUUUCUACAUUUUACUUCCUUGUUUCUUAGUGCUGUUUCCCUUUUUUGGAAUUUUUUUCACUUUCCUUUCCCAUUUGACUCGUGCACUUUCUUAUGCUUCCACCCCUUGUUUCUCCUCCCUCAUCUCAGUCACUCGGUUCAACAGAAAGUUCAUCAGAGUUCAGCUUUUCAUAAACGCAGACUAAAUGAGUGCCUUAGAGUUCACCUCAUGUCGUAGUCAAGAGUUUUAAAAGUUUUAAAAACUGUUUGCAGCUGCAUCCAGGAUGAAGUCUUGUGUAACACGCCUCUGCUUAUUAACAGUCUAGAAACUGAGGUUUUGUUAUUCAAAGGUUUGAUUCUGCAAGCUUGCAGUCUUGACCUCUGCUUAGAGUUGGACAAUAGCAGUGAUGAAGCAAUGGCAACCUUCAUCAUGUCCUCACAUCGAGUUCACACACAGAACACUUUUCUUUCAUGCAAUCAGGCAAAUAAUAGCAGGAUAUUAGAAAACAUUGCUCAAUGUUUGCACCGAAAGCAUGUUGUUCAUAAAAACACCACAGAAGGCAAGGAGUGAAAAAACCGUGUUCACUGAUUUCACAUCAACAGGAACAGUAAGUGAAACGUGGAGUCUCAUUGUCGGCUUGGUCAGCAGAAACCUGUGAUCCAACCAAUAUGUCUUCAAACCCGACAAGCUAAAUCAUAGAUUUAAAUUCGAGUGCAGCGCCAUAGUGUCCAGACAUAUUAAAUUUCUCAGGCUGAAUCUUGAUAAGAUGACAUGGAAUAUUUUCAUUUGUAAACAUGCAACCCCAUCUUGACUUUGGCACAUUAUGAAGGGUCUCCAGAGUUUCAUCUUGGAUUCUUAAAACCUCUCUGUGAAUCAUAGCAGAAGUAUGCUUUGGACCUUAAAGUCCAAAAAGUCUAAAAGAAGAUUGGAAACCAUUGCAUUCUCCCAAAUGGUCCAUAGAACCUUAUAAAAUACCCUUAAACAUGUCUACAACCUCUGCAGAGACACCAAUCAUUCAUAGAACCUCAUUUACUCGUCCUAGAAGCUCCUGUGAGUUUUUUGAAUGCCGUUUGACCCCCAUAACUCUCAUGGUUACAUUCCUGGGCUAUUCCCUGUGUUAAUGAUGAAGUUCUCUGAACACAGAUAUUAGGUGUGAAUGUGAUACUACGACAGUUCUGAUGACUUCCAGGUGUGUCUCACAGCUGAAUUAUAGACCCCCAUGACCUUCCAAGUCCAGCAAAAGGGAGAAAUAGAUAUCCUCAGACACAUUUCUUUCACACCUCUUUAAACUUUUUCAUGAAGCUCAAAACACUAAGCGAUGGCUCACAUUUCGUAGUUGAGCACAAACGUGGGCUGUCACCCUUUUUCACUAACAGCUGCUGGAAUAUCACAAUCCUGACUUUUUAUCCCACAUCUGCAACUUUUUGGGGUCAUUUUUUAACCUCGUCUGAUUGAUGGCAGUCUUUGUAUCCUAACUUUUUCUGUCUGCAGGGUGUUAUAUUAACCAAAGGAGAUUCCCCAGUACAGGAAAAAUUGCCUUGGUAAUCAAGGAAAAAGGUUUUUCUUUCCCUUUUCCCCUUGAUUAAAAAGAGAAAACAGUUGGAGGGUUUGUUUGUUUUUUUACAAAGACAUACUUAUUACUUCUCUCCAAACCACAGGGUUAAGGAUUGCGAGCUGGUGUUGGGGUCUUCACUGAUGAUCACUUAGACCUCAGACCUUAUGACUGAUUCGUGGUAUUUUUGUCUUUUUCUUGGGAAGAACAUUUGCCACACACCACAGCUCUCCUGUCUGUGGCAGUUUCUGUAUGUGAGGAUGGAGCUGAUGAAUGCAGUUAUUUAGGCCUCUACAAAGUGUCUUUCUGACCUUGUUCAUAUUUAUUCUUCUCUGUCUCUGCUCACAUUUUUUUCUUAACCUCAGGAGCCUCUCAGAACCUCAGCCAUAAAUUGCAGCGCUGCUCCCCUUUAGACCUGGAUCCUCUUUCCUGCAAUACCGCAGUCACAUAUUCACCUCAAAACCUCUGACCACAAACCGCCGACAUUUUUUAUUCCUACGUAUUCGUUUUUGCCCAGAUCAUAUCUCAAACGGUGUCACUACCUUGACGUACGAAUCAUGACAAAGCAAACCAUAUCAAACAAGUUUUCCACCACAGCAUGGUGCAACAAACAGCAGGACUUACUGUUUCUGUAAAUGUGGUUUCUCCUGUCGCUGUCCUUUAGCCAUCAACCAAGAAUCUGCAGCUCGCGGGGAACCUGAAGAUGAAUGGGAUCAUACGACUACACAUCUGAGCGGACAUAUCAAAUUAAUCGUGUUAUGCAAGGGCAAGGGGAUCAGGGUCAGGCAAACUUGUUUGUUCUUUGACGUGGCUAACACGGAAAGUGUUAAGCUGGGCUCAGCUUUUUCAGCACUGCGAUGACGUGGUGAAUUUUUCAUUAGUCAGGCUUCCGCAUCUGCAGUCACACACAACCAUGAGGUAUACCGAGGAUAGAUCAGCGCAUUAACAGGCGCGCUUUUCUUCUC